rnacentral:rRNA from 1 species
UACGAAGGGGGCUAGCGUUGCUCGGAAUCACUGGGCGUAAAGGGUGCGUAGGCGGGUCUUUAAGUCAGGGGUGAAAUCCUGGAGCUCAACUCCAGAACUGCCUUUGAUACUGAAGAUCUUGAGUUCGGGAGAGGUGAGUGGAACUGCGAGUGUAGAGGUGAAAUUCGUAGAUAUUCGCAAGAACACCAGUGGCGAAGGCGGCUCACUGGCCCGAUACUGACGCUAAGACUCGAAAGCUAGGGGAGCAAACAGG